GCCUGGGUGGCUCAGUGGUUGAGCGUCUGCCUUUGGCUCAGGUCAUGAUCCCAGGGUCCUGGGAUUGAGUCCCACAUCAGGCU
rnacentral:tRNA from 1 species